GGCCAUGAUGAGCGAAGUCUAGUCUGGCCUGGUAUUGCCCCGACUGCGGUUGGGACUCUGACCAGGACGUGAUCAGGUCUUCUUCUCUCCGAGCCG